rnacentral:rRNA from 1 species
CCUACGGGUGGCUGCAGUCGAGAAUCAUUCACAAUGGGGGAAACCCUGAUGGUGCGACGCCGCGUGGGGGAAUGAAGGUCUUCGGAUUGUAAACCCCUGUCAUGUGGGAGCAAAUUAAAAAGAUAGUACCACAAGAGGAAGAGACGGCUAACUCUGGGCCAGCAGCCGCGGUAAUACAGAGGUCUCAAGCGUUGUUCGGAAUCACUGGGCGUAAGGCGUGCGUAGGCUGUUUCGUAAGUCGUGUGUGAAAGGCGCGGGCUCAACCCGCGGACGGCACAUGAUACUGGGAGACUAGAGUAAUGGAGGGGGAACCGGAAUUCUCGGUGUAGCAGUGAAAUGCGUAGAUAGCGAGAGGAACACUCGUGGCGAAGGCGGGUUCCUGGACAUUAACUGACGCUGAGGCACGAAGGCCAGGGGAGCGAAAGGGAUUAGAUACCCCUGUAGUC